rnacentral:rRNA from 1 species
ACGCACGCUGGCGGCGUGCCUAACCCCUGCAAGUCGCGCGCAUGAAGUUCCUUCGGGAAUGGAUUUAGCGGCGGACGGGUGAGUAACACGUGGGCAACCUGCCUCAUAGAGGGGAAUAGCCUUCCGAAAGGGAGAUUAAUACCGCAUAAGAUUGUAGUAUCGCAUGAUACAGCAAUUAAAGGAGCAAUCCGCUAUGAGAUGGGCCCGCGGCGCAUUAGCUAGUUGGUGAGGUAACGGCUCACCAAGGCGACGAUGCGUAGCCGACCUGAGAGGGUGAUCGGCCACAUUGGGACUGAGACACGGCCCAGACUCCUACGGGAGGCAGCAGUGGGGAAUAUUGCACAAUGGGGGAAACCCUGAUGCAGCAACGCCGCGUGAGUGAUGACGGCCUUCGGGUUGUAAAGCUCUGUCUUCAGGGACGAUAAUGACGGUACCUGAGGAGGAAGCCACGGCUAACUACGUG